rnacentral:rRNA from 1 species
AAAACUUUCAACAACGGAUCUCUUGGUUCUGGCAUCGAUGAAGAACGCAGCGAAAUGCGAUAAGUAAUGUGAAUUGCAGAAUUUAGUGAAUCAUCGAAUCUUUGAACGCACAUUGCGCCCCUCUCCGGGGGGCAUGCCUGUUCGAGCGUCAUU